UUAAGCGACUAAGCGUACACGGUGGAUGCCCUGGCAGUCAGAGGCGAUGAAGGGCGUGCUAAUCUGCGAUAAGCGCCGGUAAGGUGAUAUGAACCGUUAUAACCGGCGAUACCCGAAUGGGGAAACCCAGUGUGACUCGUCACACUAUCAUUAACUGAAUCCAUAGGUUAAUGAGGCGAACCGGGGGAACUGAAACAUCUAAGUACCCCGAGGAAAAGAAAUCAACCGAGAUUCCCCCAGUAGCGGCGAGCGAACGGGGAGGAGCCCAGAGCCUGAAUCAGCAUGUGUGUUAGUGGAAGCGUCUGGAAAGGCGCGCGAUACAGGGUGACAGCCCCGUACACAAAAGCGCAUGUGCUGUGAGCUCGAUGAGUAGGGCGGGACACGUGGUAUCCUGUCUGAAUAUGGGGGGACCAUCCUCCAAGGCUAAAUACUCCUGACUGACCGAUAGUGAACCAGUACCGUGAGGGAAAGGCGAAAAGAACCCCGGCGAGGGGAGUGAAAAAGAACCUGAAACCGUGUACGUACAAGCAGUGGGAGCCCCACCACUAAGCCAGUGGUGAACUCCACAUACGCAUCCUUUGCUGAGGAUACGGUUAACGGAGCGAAAGCGACGUUCAACCUCAAAAGAAGCAGAGGGGGCUUAGUGGUGGGGUGACUGCGUACCUUUUGUAUAAUGGGUCAGCGACUUAUAUUCUGUAGCAAGGUUAACCGUAUAGGGGAGCCGUAGGGAAACCGAGUCUUAACCGGGCGUUAAGUUGCAGGGUAUAGACCCGAAACCCGGUGAUCUAGCCAUGGGCAGGUUGAAGGUUGGGUAACACUAACUGGAGGACCGAACCGACUAAUGUUGAAAAAUUAGCGGAUGACCUGUGGCUGGGGGUGAAAGGCCAAUCAAACCGGGAGAUAGCUGGUUCUCCCCGAAAGCUAUUUAGGUAGCGCCUCGUGAAUUCAUCUCCGGGGGUAGAGCACUGUUUCGGCUAGGGGGCCAUCCCGGCUUACCAACCCGAUGCAAACUGCGAAUACCGGAGAAUGUUAUCACGGGAGACACACGGCGGGUGCUAACGUCCGUCGUGAAGAGGGAAACAACCCAGACCGCCAGCUAAGGUCCCAAAGUCAUGGUUAAGUGGGAAACGAUGUGGGAAGGCCCAGACAGCCAGGAUGUUGGCUUAGAAGCAGCCAUCAUUUAAAGAAAGCGUAAUAGCUCACUGGUCGAGUCGGCCUGCGCGGAAGAUGUAACGGGGCUAAACCAUGCACCGAAGCUGCGGCAGCGACGCUUAUGCGUUGUUGGGUAGGGGAGCGUUCUGUAAGCCUGCGAAGGUGGCCUGUGAGGGUUGCUGGAGGUAUCAGAAGUGCGAAUGCUGACAUAAGUAACGAUAAAGCGGGUGAAAAGCCCGCUCGCCGGAAGACCAAGGGUUCCUGUCCAACGUUAAUCGGGGCAGGGUGAGUCGACCCCUAAGGCGAGGCCGAAAGGCGUAGUCGAUGGGAAACAGGUUAAUAUUCCUGUACUUGGUGUUACUGCGAAGGGGGGACGGAGAAGGCUAUGUUGGCCGGGCGACGGUUGUCCCGGUUUAAGCGUGUAGGUGUGUGUUCCAGGUAAAUCCGGUUCACUUUAACACUGAGGCGUGACGACGAGGCACUACGGUGCUGAAGCAACAAAUGCCCUGCUUCCAGGAAAAGCCUCUAAGCAUCAGGUAACAUCAAAUCGUACCCCAAACCGACACAGGUGGUCAGGUAGAGAAUACCAAGGCGCUUGAGAGAACUCGGGUGAAGGAACUAGGCAAAAUGGUGCCGUAACUUCGGGAGAAGGCACGCUGACACGUAGGUGAAGUGAUUUACUCAUGGAGCUGAAGUCAGUCGAAGAUACCAGCUGGCUGCAACUGUUUAUUAAAAACACAGCACUGUGCAAACACGAAAGUGGACGUAUACGGUGUGACGCCUGCCCGGUGCCGGAAGGUUAAUUGAUGGGGUCAGCGCAAGCGAAGCUCCUGAUCGAAGCCCCGGUAAACGGCGGCCGUAACUAUAACGGUCCUAAGGUAGCGAAAUUCCUUGUCGGGUAAGUUCCGACCUGCACGAAUGGCGUAAUGAUGGCCAGGCUGUCUCCACCCGAGACUCAGUGAAAUUGAACUCGCUGUGAAGAUGCAGUGUACCCGCGGCAAGACGGAAAGACCCCGUGAACCUUUACUAUAGCUUGACACUGAACAUUGAGCCUUGAUGUGUAGGAUAGGUGGGAGGCUUUGAAGCGUGGACGCCAGUCUGCGUGGAGCCGACCUUGAAAUACCACCCUUUAAUGUUUGAUGUUCUAACGUGGACCCGUAAUCCGGGUUGCGGACAGUGUCUGGUGGGUAGUUUGACUGGGGCGGUCUCCUCCUAAAGAGUAACGGAGGAGCACGAAGGUUGGCUAAUCCUGGUCGGACAUCAGGAGGUUAGUGCAAUGGCAUAAGCCAGCUUGACUGCGAGCGUGACGGCGCGAGCAGGUGCGAAAGCAGGUCAUAGUGAUCCGGUGGUUCUGAAUGGAAGGGCCAUCGCUCAACGGAUAAAAGGUACUCCGGGGAUAACAGGCUGAUACCGCCCAAGAGUUCAUAUCGACGGCGGUGUUUGGCACCUCGAUGUCGGCUCAUCACAUCCUGGGGCUGAAGUAGGUCCCAAGGGUAUGGCUGUUCGCCAUUUAAAGUGGUACGCGAGCUGGGUUUAGAACGUCGUGAGACAGUUCGGUCCCUAUCUGCCGUGGGCGCUGGAGAACUGAGGGGGGCUGCUCCUAGUACGAGAGGACCGGAGUGGACGCAUCACUGGUGUUCGGGUUGUCAUGCCAAUGGCACUGCCCGGUAGCUAAAUGCGGAAGAGAUAAGUGCUGAAAGCAUCUAAGCACGAAACUUGCCCCGAGAUGAGUUCUCCCUGAGACUUAGAGUCUCCUGAAGGAACGUUGAAGACGACGACGUUGAUAGGCCGGGUGUGUAAGCGCAGCGAUGCGUUGAGCUAACCGGUACUAAUGAACCGUGAGGCUUAACCUU
rnacentral:rRNA from 2 species